AGUCGAGGGGUAUAGUUCUUCGGGAUUAGAGACCGGCGCACGGGUGCGUAACGCGUAUGCAAUCUACCUUUCACAGAGGGAUAGCCCAGAGAAAUUUGGAUUAAUACCUCAUAGUAUAUCGAGUUGGCAUCAACAUGAUAUUAAAGUCACAACGGUGAAAGAUGAGCAUGCGUCCCAUUAGCUAGUUGGUAAGGUAACGGCUUACCAAGGCAACGAUGGGUAGGGGUCCUGAGAGGGAGAUCCCCCACACUGGUACUGAGACACGGACCAGACUCCUACGGGAGGCAGCAGUGAGGAAUAUUGGACAAUGGGCGCAAGCCUGAUCCAGCCAUGCCGCGUGCAGGAUGACGGUCCUAUGGAUUGUAAACUGCUUUUAUACAGGAAGAAACAACUCUACGUGUAGAGUCUUGACGGUACUGUAAGAAUAAGGAUCGGCUAACUCCGUGCCAGCAGCCGCGGUAAUACGGAGGAUCCAAGCGUUAUCCGGAAUCAUUGGGUUUAAAGGGUCCGUAGGCGGUCAGAUAAGGUCAGUGGUGAAAGCCCAUCGCUCAAACG
rnacentral:rRNA from 1 species